GCCUCACAGUCUAGUAAUAAGGACUCGGCAAUUACAGGAACUUCUAGAGCCAGUUCCCUUCAGGAGCAUGCCAGGCUGAGAGGCUUUGUCCUGUGGAGAAGUGGAAAAGGUCAGGGGAGGGGAAAGAAAGAGCCCUUCCCUGUCAAGGCGCCAGCGAGGGAUGGAGACAAAGGGAGGCUCCAUGGAGAUGCAAUGUGAUCAGCUGGCCUUCUGCUCUGGUCAUCAUGACUUCCCUGCCUGAAACCAUAUCUUCCCUUUCAUGAUGGAAUGGUCCUCUCAAGUUAUAAGAUGAAAUAAAUCUCUCUUUCCCUAAAA